rnacentral:rRNA from 1 species
AACGAACGCUGGCGGCAUGCUUAACACAUGCAAGUCGAACGGUAACAGAGGUGCUUGCACCUGCUGACGAGUGGCGAACGGGUGAGUAACGCGUGGAUACCUACCCCGGGGCGGGGGACAACAGUUGGAAACGACUGCUAAUACCGCAUACGACCUUCGGGUGAAAGAUUUAUCACCCUGGGAGGGGUCCGCGUUAGAUUAGCUAGUUGGUGGGGUAAAGGCCUACCAAGGCGACGAUCUAUAGCUGGUCUGAGAGGAUGAUCAGCCACACUGGGACUGAGACACGGCCCAG